rnacentral:rRNA from 1 species
GGGUUGUGAGGUUAAGCGACUAAGCGUACACGGUGGAUGCCCUGGCAGUCAGAGGCGAUGAAGGACGUGCUAAUCUGCGAUAAGCGUCGGUAAGGUGAUAUGAACCGUUAUAACCGGCGAUUUCCGAAUGGGGAAACCCAGUGUGUUUCGACACACUAUCAUUAACUGAAUCCAUAGGUUAAUGAGGCGAACCGGGGGAACUGAAACAUCUAAGUACCCCGAGGAAAAGAAAUCAACCGAGAUUCCCCCAGUAGCGGCGAGCGAACGGGGAGCAGCCCAGAGCCUGAAUCAGUAUGUGUGUUAGUGGAAGCGUCUGGAAAGGCGCGCGAUACAGGGUGACAGCCCCGUACACAAAAAUGCACAUGCUGUGAGCUCGAUGAGUAGGGCGGGACACGUGGUAUCCUGUCUGAAUAUGGGGGGACCAUCCUCCAAGGCUAAAUACUCCUGACUGACCGAUAGUGAACCAGUACCGUGAGGGAAAGGCGAAAAGAACCCCGGCGAGGGGAGUGAAAAAGAACCUGAAACCGUGUACGUACAAGCAGUGGGAGCAC